AGCUAACGCGUUAAGUAGACCGCCUGGGGAGUACGGUCGCAAGAUUAAAACUCAAAUGAAUUGACGGGGGCCCGCACAAGCGGUGGAGCAUGUGGUUUAAUUCGAUGCAACGCGAAGAACCUUACCUACUCUUGACAUCCAGAGAACUUUCCAGAGAUGGAUUGGUGCCUUCGGGAACUCUGAGACAGGUGCUGCAUGGCUGUCGUCAGCUCGUGUUGUGAAAUGUUGGGUUAAGUCCCGCAACGAGCGCAACCCUUAUCCUUGUUUGCCAGCGAGUAAUGUCGGGAACUCCAGGGAGACUGCCGGUGAUAAACCGGAGGAAGGUGGGGACGACGUCAAGUCAUCAUGGCCCUUACGAGUAGGGCUACACACGUGCUACAAUGGCGCAUACAGAGGGCGGCCAACUUGCGAAAGUGAGCGAAUCCCAAAAAGUGCGUCGUAGUCCGGAUUGGAGUCUGCAACUCGACUCCAUGAAGUCGGAAUCGCUAGUAAUCGUGGAUCAGAAUGCCACGGUGAAUACGUUCCCGGGCCUUGUACACACCGCCCGUCACACCAUGGGNNNNGGCUGCAAAAGAAGUAGGUAGUUAACCUUCGGGGGGAC
rnacentral:rRNA from 1 species